AGCACCGGGAAGCAGGGGCCGAGCCUUCCCCGCUCUGUGCCUGGGGGCUCUGGGCACUGUCUACACCUGGGAGGUGGUCAGCAUAUGUGCGUGGGAACUUGCUGGAAGGAAGGAAUGACCCUUCUAGCCAUGGAACGGUGGUCAUCCGUGAGCCACGGCCUCAGGAGGUGCCUUCCUAAUGUGCAGGUGACGAUUGCCUCUGAGCUCAGGCAUGCAGCUUCUGGGAUGCACUCUCCUUUCACGGCAAAGCAUUCUGCAUAGGAAAAACCGUCUCUGCGUCUCCAAGCUGUGGCCUAGCCCUUCAUUCAUCAAAUGGGAUACAACUUUCAUUUCUUAUUAAAAUCUGGAAGUCACUCUCCAUUUGUAAGAUA
ensembl:lncRNA novel transcript